rnacentral:misc_RNA from 1 species
GGGAAUGGUGAAUGGUGUACCAAAGCACUGCAAGAACUUAUGGGUGGGUUGCUGGAAAAUCAUAUGGUUAUGUCACUAGAUUUUGAGGAAAGAGCGGGUUUUUAAAUUGGAAACGAUAGAAGGAUAUAUGUUUUUCUUUUUUGAUCAGUAAAAGUAACAUUUAUAUAAAGUUACCAGCAAGAAGCAAUUGCUGUGUGGAUAGAUGACAGAAGAAAUAUCCUUCUUUGUUGACAAC